CCACGUACUGUGCGAACGUUAUUCGGAAUCACUGGGCUUAAAGGGUACGUAGGCGGCCUAUCAAGUCAGGUGUGAAAUCCCACGGCUCAACCGUGGAACUGCGCUUGAAACUGAUAGGCUUGAGGAAGACAGGGGUGUGUGGAACUUCUCGUGGAGCGGUGAAAUGUGUUGAUAUGAGAAGGAACACCGGUGGCGAAGGCGACACACUGGGUCUUUUCUGACGCUGAGGUACGAAAGCCAGGGGAGCGAACGGGAUUAGAUACCCUAGUAGUCC
rnacentral:rRNA from 1 species